ensembl:lncRNA
CUUCUUUCCACCAACUCCCUCAGUGCCUCUGUCUUCCCUCCAGGUCCAUCCAAAGUCCAGAGUCUGAACCAGGUCAUCAGCCCCCUGGGGCGUGUGGCUCAGAUUUUCCUUCCACACUUCUGCAGCGAUUCUCAUGGGGAGCAGACCUCUCCCUACGACAGGGGUCUCAAUGGCAAUGACUUUGCCUCUCAGGGAAUAUUUGGAAAUUUCCAGGGACUUUCAUGGUUGUCACAACUUUGGAGGUUAUGUGGCUGGCAUCCCGUGGGUGCUAAGCAUCCUACAGUGCAGAGGGCAGGUCCCCCAACAAAGAAUUCUCUAGCCCCAGAUGUCAUGGUGCCAAGGUUGGGAAACACCACCAAAAGAAUGGUCUGCCCUUCCCUGACCCCUGGAAUCCUGGUGGAUGAAGUUUCUUCUCCUUUUUGUAUGCAGAGAUGCAUUUGGAGAUGGACGCGGAGCCCAGUUCUGGCAGAUGAGCUGUACAGAGAAAUCUGUUGAGGAAGGCAUUCCACCCUAAUGACUGUAUGUUUCUCUUCCUGCUUUUGGACAUAGUUGUGUGCAGGCAUGAGCUUCCCUGGUAAAGAAUCCGUCUGCAAUACAAGAGACACGGGUUUGAUCCCUGGGUUAGGAAGAUCUCCUGGAGAAGGGAAUGGCAACUCACCCCAGUAUUCUUGCCUGGAGAACCCCAUGGAUGGAUGAGCCAGGCGGGCUACAAUCCAUGGGCUCACAAAAGUGUUGGACGUGACUUAACUAACUAAAUGACAACAACGACGUAUCCCAGGAUGAUGAUCAGAGAUGCCUUUUAAGCCUCUGCUAUCACCAUGAGAACAAUAGGCUCUGGGUACCCCUCUAGAUGGCAGCCCACUCCAGUGUUCUUGCCUGAAGAAUCCCAGGGACAGAGGAGCUUGGUGGGCUGCGGUCUAUGGGGUCACACAGAGUCGGACACGACUGAAGUGACUUAGCAGCAGCAGCAGCAGCCCUCUAGUCCCAGAGGAUAAAGACACAUGAAACAGAAAAACUCUAGAAGCGUGCAGACCUUCAGCUUGAAGUAAGAGUUGCUCAGUUAGAUGUGGACUCAGUCUAGCUGCCACACCUCAAGCAGAGCUGCUUCACUGGCCGUAGCCAGAUCUGCGAGGAAGGAAUGUGGUUCAAGCCACUGAGUUUGGGGAUAGCUUGUCAUGCAGCACUAUGUGGCAGCAGCUAACCCAUGUUACUCCCCCGUCUACUGCCAGCCGAGCUUCUGAACUUGAUGUCUCAGCCCAGAACCACCCUGAAAUGAAGGGGAAUAAAGAAAGUUCUUGAGAGAGGUGCCCUUGGAGU